rnacentral:tRNA from 1 species
UGUUCUGUGGCGGAGUUGGUUAACGCGUCCUGUCUAGCGAACUUGGGGAGACGUGGGUUCAAAUCCCACCAGAACUA